GUGCUUGCACCGGGUGGAUUAGUGGCGAACGGGUGAGUAUCACGUGAGUAACCUGCCCUUGACUCUGGGAUAAGCCUGGGAAACUGGGUCUAAUACCGGAUAUGACCAGUCCUCGCAUGGGGUGCUGGUGGAAAGAUUUUAUCGGUCUUGGAUGGACUCGCGGCCUAUCAGUUUGUUGGUGAGGUAAUGGCUCACCAAGGCGAUGACGGGUAGCCGGCCUGAGAGGGUGACCGGCCACACUGGGACUGAGACACGGCCCAGACUCCUACGGGAGGCAGCAGUGGGGAAUAUUGCACAAUGGGCGCAAGCCUGAUGCAGCGACGCCGCGUGCGGGAUGACGGCCUUCGGGUUGUAAACCGCUUUCAGCAGGGAAGAAGCUUUUUGUGACGGUACCUGCAGAAGAAGCGCCGGCUAACUACGUGCCAGCAGCCGCGGUAAUACGUAGGGCGCGAGCGUUAUCCGGAAUUAUUGGGCGUAAAGGGCUCGCAGGCGGUUUGCCACGUCUGCU
rnacentral:rRNA from 1 species